CACGCUCACCCUGGACUACUACGGACUGCGUCAUAACUGCUGCUCGCGCGGGUCUCGCGCUUCAGGCAGGUCUCGCCUGAAAGAUGCUCUCCUCCCACCUUCCUCUCCUCAUUCUCCGUUUGGAAGCGGCUUCAGAAAACUUCAUGUACAAAGUUAAAGAUGUGAAAGCCUUUAAAUCUUCUACAUUCAUUUGAGGAUUGACUUCAACUGCUGAGUGACCUUCAAAUGUCAUUGAGACUUGAACCUGUAAGUUGAAAUAUAUGCUACAUUCCAGCUUGGAACAUUCUGUGGACUGAUUAUGUAAAUCUCAUAAACCACUUUUUUCUAAGAUCUGGCACCACUGAGCCUGACUAAUGGUCAAUAUCUAUUUAGGAGAGGAAGAGUAUUUGAACUAGGAAAUAAAUCAAGAACAUAAUUGGGAGGCUUAUUCUUCUUUCAGGACCUAAAAAAAAAAAGAGGCUUGAUUCACAUGGAAAAAUGCUUAUUUUUUAAAAUAAGAAAAACAAUAUACCUAUUUGGAAUUAAUAUGCACCCAAAUGAAUUUUGAUUUAUAAUUAAACAUAUUCGUAUAGCUUUA